rnacentral:rRNA from 1 species
AGAGUUUGAUCCUGGCUCAGGAUGAACGCUGACAGAAUGCUUAACACAUGCAAGUCUUUGGCGAAGCUGUGCUUGCACAGCCUAGCCAAGGCGGACGGGUGAGUAACGCGUAAGGAACUUGCCCUGCAGUCAGGGAUAACAGACGGAAACGACUGAUAAGACCUGGUAAAGUCAGGCGGACUCAUGUCCAGCCUGAUGAAAAGAGAUGCUGCAGGAGAGCCUUGCGUCCUAUUAGCUUGUUGGUGGGGUAACGGCCCACCAAGGCGAUGAUAGGUAGCCGGCCUGAGAGGGUGGACGGCCACAAGGGGACUGAGAUACGGCCCUUACUCCUACGGGAGGCAGCAGUGGGGAAUAUUGGACAAUGGGGGCAACCCUGAUCCAGCAAUUCUGUGUGCACGAUGAAGGUUUUCGGAUUGUAAAGUGCUUUCAGCAGGGAAGAAAAAAAUGACGGUACCUGCAGAAGAAGCGACGGCUAAAUACGUGCCAGCAGCCGCGGUAAUACGUAUGUCGCGAGCGUUAUCCGGAAUUAUUGGGCAUAAAGGGCAUCUAGGCGGCCGGAUAAGUCUGGGGUGAAAACUUGCGGCUCAACCGCAAGCCUGCCCUGGAAACUAUGUGGCUAGAGUACUGGAGAGGUGGACGGAACUGCACGAGUAGAGGUGAAAUUCGUAGAUAUGUGCAGGAAUGCCGAUGAUGAAGAUAGUUCACUGGACGGUAACUGACGCUGAAGUGCGAAAGCUAGGGGAGCAAACAGGAUUAGAUACCCUGGUAGUCCUAGCU